GGCUCAAUAGCUCAGCGGUAGAGCAGGGGAUUCAUAAGCCCUUGGUCACAGGUUCAAAUCCCGUUUGAGCCA
rnacentral:tRNA from 1 species